CCGGGACGCGCCGGCGCCGCGCGGGACCCGGGGAGGCGCGCACCGCUCGCUUACCUGAUGAUGGAAGGGCUCUCUCCUGGGCCAGCGCCCGGACAGUUUCGGCCACCUCGGCCCCGGGGCAGAUCCACAAGGAGGUGACUGACGACCGAAGACGGGCCGGAGCCUCCACGGCUGCCCGGUGUCUCCGCCGCCGCGUGUGUAUUUUCUGCCUUUUGGACUUGAGAUGCAAAUAAAAAAAGGAGGGGGGCGCACAGCGGAGGGAAGCAGGCGGGAGCGCGGAGAGGAGCGCGAGAAAAAUAAAGGGGGGAGGUGAGGGUGAUGAAAUUGGGGGGUUGAGAUCUUCAGGGAUUACUCAUUUGAAAGAAAAAAAGGAGCGAGAGAGACGGGGGGGGGGGAAGCAGCCCCAAGACGUGCGAGUAGCAAUCUCUCCUCCAUUCAGCCAUUUGAAUGUCAAGGGCGAGGGUCAAGGGACCUGUUUCCAACAGGGUUUCACGUUCAGAACCAGAAGGAAAAAGGAAGGGGGGGCGGCGGGAGGGGGUAUCUCUUGUUGCCAAGGAGAAAUCGGUUUUGUUUUCGUUUCCCCUUAGCUACUGGGGGAGGAGGGGCGGGGGGGGGGAGAAGAGGAGGGGGCGAGCGGGAGAGGGGAGAGGAGAAAAUUAAUACCCAAACAGCCAAGAAGUACCGAGGGGGAGAUUUCUUCUCGUAAAUAAGAGGCAGCGAUUGCAAACAAGUCUCCGGCAGGAGAAAGCAGGCCGGAGAGCCGGCUCCCCUCCCCCUCUCGCCACCAACAACCCCCCACCUUUUUCUUUCUUUUCUCUCUCUCUCUCUCUCUUUUUUUUUUUUUUGGUUAUCUCCCCGGGCCGGCGUCCCACCACUGACUCAGAGAGCAGGGGUGGGGGAAGGAAGAGAAAGAACUCGCGGGGGCUCAGGCGCCCGGGCAGAAGGAGCAGGAGGAGAGCGGGGAGGCGAGAGCGCGCGGCGGUGGAGAGCCCCUCGAUCAAUUUUCAUGCAAGAAUCAUUAUCGGUAAAUUGGAAAGCUGGCUGCCUGACAGCAGAUUUGUCUCCCCUAAUGAAAGCGAAAGGGUAGGGGCGCAGCGGCGGGCGGCUGCAGGCGGCGGCGGCGGCGGCUCCUUCCGUCUCUACGCGGCAUCUUCCAAGAGCUGCAUGCUUUGCAGAGCGAUAAUAAUAGUUUCACUUGCGAGCUUCUCCCCGCGCGGCUGCCGAGCCGGGCAGCCGAUCCGUGCGGCCUGGGAUCCGGGCGCAAGACAGCCGGGCUCCCCUCUCCGAACGCGGGCAGGGUGCCGCGGCUGGCGGCGGGGCGCUCCGCUCUGCCCCAAAGCGGGGCCGUUUGCAAACAGUGGGCGGCCGCGGGCGCCGCCGGGCCCCCCUCGGCUGCCCAACUCCGCGCUCUGGCCGCCCGCCCGCCCUCCCCUCCCACGGCUGACAGCUGCGGGAGCCGGAGUUCACCCGCCGCCGGGGCCUAGGAGGAGAAUCCCCAAACCGUGUCCCCGGAGGCUCUGGCCAGCCUUUGGUGAACCCACGCGGGGCUGCGGAAACGCACACGCCGCCCAGCCCGGGGGGAGCUCCAAAGGCGAGCAGCUCCUUUCUCUCCUUUCUCUUCCUCGCGCCCCGCACCCCACCCUUAAAAAUCCGUGUUGUAAGUGUAAUCAAAUGCUUGAUACCAUCUUCCACACUCUCCCUGCACCGGUGCAUUAUCAGAUCCGGGAAGGCAUGCUUCCAGGCAAAUAGACCUAAUAAAUGCUAUUACUGGGAUUCUGCAAGCCGCGGCUGCACCAUAGUAACGAGCGUCCUGGCUAAUUUGGUUUAAGAGAACGAUCAACUGCA